AGCAGUCGCCGCGGUAAUACGUAGGGUGCAAGCGUUAAUCGGAAUUACUGGGCGUAAAGCGUGCGCAGGCGGUUUUGUAAGACAGAGGUGAAAUCCCCGGGCUCAACCUGGGAACUGCCUUUGUGACUGCAAGGCUAGAGUACGGCAGAGGGGGAUGGAAUUCCGCGUGUAGCAGUGAAAUGCGUAGAUAUGCGGAGGAACACCGAUGGCGAAGGCAAUCCCCUGGGCCUGUACUGACGCUCAUGCACGAAAGCGUGGGGAGCAAACAGGAUUAGAUACCCCUGUAGUCCCUGUCUCUUAUAC
rnacentral:rRNA from 1 species